CGCGAUGCCGUCGGCGGGAUCCUUCUGCAUGAGCCACGUCUCGGGGCAGAGCGCGGAGCAGAACUCGUUGUUGUGAGUGAUCAUCACCACGCCGCCCUCGUACGUGCGGAUGGCGCCGGCGAGGGCGCCAAGGGAGUCGCGAUCGAGGUAGUUGGUGGGCUCGUCGAGAAUGACGAUGUGGGGCAGGGCCCACAUGGCGGCGGCGAUGACAACCUUCACCUUCUGGCCGCCGGAGAGGGCGGACAUGCGGGUGUGAGUGCCGAACUCCUUGUCGAGGCCAACGUCCUCGAGGUGCUUCUCCACGUUAGCGGUGGUGAGCGGGGUGGAGAAGGCGCCGGCGCGCUGUGCAACCUUCUCGUCAACGACGAGCAUGUGCUUGCUGAAGCCCCACUUUGCGAGCUUGGAGGCAGAGACGUACCUGUUGGAGUUGUAGGACAUGC
rnacentral:lncRNA from 1 species